CAACUGGGGAAUACCUUAGUACGGCGAGUGAAGCGGUAAAAGCUCAAAUUUGAAAUCUGGUACUUUCAGUGCCCGAGUUGUAAUUUGUAGAAUUUGUCUUUGAUUAGGUCCUUGUCUAUGUUCCUUGGAACAGGACGUCAUAGAGGGUGAGAAUCCCGUUUGGCGAGGAUACCUUUUCUCUGUAAGACUUUUUCGAAGAGUCGAGUUGUUUGGGAAUGCAGCUCAAAGUGGGUGGUAAAUUCCAUCUAAAGCUAAAUAUUGGCGAGAGACCGAUAGCGAACAAGUACAGUGAUGGAAAGAUGAAAAGAACUUUGAAAAGAGAGUGAAAAAGUACGUGAAAUUGUUGAAAGGGAAGGGCAUUUGAUCAGACAUGGUGUUUUUUGCAUGCACUCGCCUCUCGUGGGCUUGGGCCUCUCAAAAAUUUCACUGGGCCAACAUCAAUUCUGGCAGCAGGAUAAAUCAUUAAGAAUGUAGCUACUUCGGUAGUGUUAUAGCUUUUUGGAAUACUGUUAGCCGGGAUUGAGGACUGCGCUUCGGCAAGGAUGUUGGCAUAAUGGUUAAAUGCCGCCGUGAAAACAGGGGCCAAAAAAAAAAGGGUAAAGGGAGGGGGUUGGGGGG
rnacentral:rRNA from 1 species